UACGUAGGGCGCAAGCGUUGUCCGGAAUUAUUGGGCGUAAAGAGCUCGUAGGCGGUCUGUUGCGUCCGCUGUGAAAACUCGGGGCUUAACCCCGAGCCUGCAGUGGAUACGGGCAGACUAGAGGUAGGUAGGGGAGAAUGGAAUUCCCGGUGUAGCGGUGAAAUGCGCAGAUAUCAGGAGGAACACCGAUGGCGAAGGCAGGUCUCUGGGCAUUAACUGACGCUGAGGAGCGAAAGCAUGGGGAGCGAACAGG
rnacentral:rRNA from 1 species